rnacentral:rRNA from 1 species
AUUGAACGCUGGCGGCAGGCCUAACACAUGCAAGUCGAGCGGAGCGGCGGACGGGUGAGUAAUGCCUAGGAAUCUGCCUGGUAGUGGGGGAUAACGUCCGGCAACGGGCGCUAAUACCGCAUACUAUCAGAUGAGCCUAGGUCGGAUUAGCUAGUUGGUGGGGUAAAGGCCUACCAAGGCGAGGAUCCGUAACUGGUCUGAGGGGAUGAACAGUCAAAAUGGAACGGGGCAAAGGUCCAACUCCCAAGGGGAGGAAGCAGGGGGGAAUAGUGGACAAGGGGCGAAAGCAUGCUGCAGCCAGGGCGGGUGUGGGAAGAAGGUCUUCGGAUUGGAAAGCACUUUAAGUUGGGAGACGUUACCAACAGAGUAAGCACCGGCUAACUUCGUGCCAGCAGCCGCGGUAAUAC